CACAUGCAAGCCGAGCGGUAGAGAUUCUUCGGAAUCUUGAGAGCGGCGUACGGGUGCGGAACACGUGUGCAACCUGCCUUUAUCAGGGGGAUAGCCUUUCGAAAGGAAGAUUAAUACCCCAUAAUAUAUUGAAUGGCAUCAUUUGAUAUUGAAAACUCCGGUGGAUAGAGAUGGGCACGCGCAAGAUUAGAUAGUUGGUGAGGUAACGGCUCACCAAGUCUACGAUCUUUAGGGGGCCUGAGAGGGUGAUCCCCCACACUGGUACUGAGACACGGACCAGACUCCUACGGGAGGCAGCAGUGAGGAAUAUUGGACAAUGGGUGCGAGCCUGAUCCAGCCAUCCCGCGUGAAGGACGACGGCCCUAUGGGUUGUAAACUUCUUUUGUAUAGGGAUAAACCUAGAUACGUGUAUCUAGCUGAAGGUACUAUACGAAUAAGCACCGGCUAACUCCGUGCCAGCAGCCGCGGUAAUACGGAGGGUGCAAGCGUUAUCCGGAUUUAUUGGGUUUAAAGGGUCCGUAGGCGGAUUUGUAAGUCAGUGGUGAAAUCUCACAGCUUAACUGUGAAACUGCCAUUGAUACUGCAAGUCUUGAGUGUUGUUGAAGUAGCUGGAAUAAGUAGUGUAGCGGUGAAAUGCAUAGAUAUUACUUAGAACACCAAUUGCGAAGGCAGGUUACUAAGCAACAACUGACGCUGAUGGACGAAAGCGUGGGGAGCGAACAGGAUUAGAUACCCUGGUAGUCCACGCCGUAAACGAUGCUAACUCGUUUUUGGAUUUUCGGAUUCAGAGACUAAGCGAAAGUGAUAAGUUAGCCACCUGGGGAGUACGAACGCAAGUUUGAAACUCAAAGGAAUUGACGGGGGCCCGCACAAGCGGUGGAUUAUGUGGUUUAAUUCGAUGAUACGCGAGGAACCUUACCAAGGCUUAAAUGGGAAAUGACAGGUUUAGAAAUAGACUUUUCUUCGGACAUUUUUCAAGGUGCUGCAUGGUUGUCGUCAGCUCGUGCCGUGAGGUGUUAGGUUAAGUCCUGCAACGAGCGCAACCCCUGUCACUAGUUGCCAUCAUUAAGUUGGGGACUCUAGUGAGACUGCCUACGCAAGUAGAGAGGAAGGUGGGGAUGACGUCAAAUCAUCACGGCCCUUACGCCUUGGGCCACACACGUAAUACAAUGGCCGGUACAGAGGGCAGCUACACAGCGAUGUGAUGCAAAUCUCGAAAGCCGGUCUCAGUUCGGAUUGGAGUCUGCAACUCGACUCUAUGAAGCUGGAAUCGCUAGUAAUCGCGCAUCAGCCAUGGCGCGGUGAAUACGUUCCCGGGCCUUGUACACACCGCCCGUCAAGCCAUGGAAGUCUGGGGUACCUGAAGUCGGUGACCGUAACAGGAGCUGCC
rnacentral:rRNA from 1 species